UUUAACCCGUCCCGUUUGAUCCAUUCUCCGCUUUCUUGUUUGAAAGAUGAUUUUCUUUGGUGGCGAAGAAAGAAGCCUCGUGAUAAGCAAAUGAUCAAAAGGGUGGGGCUUGUGGUUGGGGUCAGAUGUGUGCUCGUAGCUCCUCUAUUGGACAAGGUAGAGAACAUCCUUGAAGUAAGCUCUCUCAGGGGCCUGUUAGUGUUGUGUUAGAUUUCAAAAGAGAGGGACCACCCUCGGCUGGCACAGAGGCCUCCAUCAGUGUAAGUUAGAAUUCUUCAGGGUCCUCUAAAUGGCAGCCUGAGCUUAACACUGGGUGUUGCUAUUCUGUCUAAGCUCCACCCCCACAGCUACCUGGCAACAGCCAGGUAUGCUCCGCCCCACAGUUGCCUGGCAACAGUCAGUGGUGCCUGACUACCAAGGGGGCUGCUUGGCCCCUCCUCACUCUCUUGCUCUUGCUCUAACUCUUUGCUCUCAUGCCCUCUUUCUCUUCGUCCCUUCUCUUCCCACUCUCCUCCCCGCUUCCCUCCACGUGCCCAUAGCCGGCCUCCUUUGUUCCUCCCCUUUUCUACUCUUCUUCUCUCAUUAAACCUCUCCACGUGGAACCAUGUUGGCUUGGUGUGUUCUGUCUGGACGUGGGCGGAGAUUUAAACCCCAACACUGGGGAGUUGUGUCUGCUGCCCUGGGGCCAUCAGGGUUUCCUUCUUCCAGUCAUUCACCAAACGAAGUUCAAGACUAGGCCAAUUUUACCGGCAGACUCUAAUUCUCCUGUGUUUUCUCUCAAAGUAUUCCAUUGGCCUCUUCCAAUUUCAGGACAAUGGGAACAUUCUCUUCAGUCAACCUUCUCUUCCUUCCUUGACUUCAGGAAGACUUACUCCUCCGUGCCCACCCCCAAUCUUCUCAAAGGACCACUGGUUUCUUUCCCUUCCUCUGCACAGCUCAAACUAGAGGUUUGCCUUCCUUCCUUCUCAUAUGUGUUCUCAGCUGGUCCCUUGCACUUCCUGGAGGAAAUGACCACAAUCGGAGGAGCGCCAUGUUGCCCAUCUGUGCCUGGUCCGUGUGCUGUGCCUUCUGCGACUGCAGUCCCCUACUCAGGCAUGUCGCUUCAUGGUUCUUUUAUACAAGGACAUUCUGGGGGAAAGUCCCCUAUCAGCCAAUGACUGCUGGAUGAUUCCUAUUGAGUCUUGUUACCAUUUCUUUGUAACCCGGUCCCCAAAGAUCCCUUAUCCUUCUUCAGUUACUACAGUUGUUUUGUUUGUUUCUUUCCUUAGAAAAUCUCUUGAAUUCUGUCAUCUGUAUUCAAAGUCUUUAUAACUGUGGUCAGCAUUCACAUCCCCCCUCCACCAAGACUGUUCUCUCUUAGCUGGCUCACAUCCAAAAUCCAAUGAUUGAAUAAUUCAUUGCUUUUAUUUCUAUCCCCGGUUACUCUCUGACUGCUUCUGCUUCUGCUGCUUCUGCUUCUGCUUCUGCUUCUGCUUCUGCUUCUGCUUCUGCUUCUGCUUCUUCUUCUUCUUCUUCUUCUUCUUCUUCUUCUUCUUCUUCUUCUUCUUCUUCUUCUUCUUCUUCUUCUUCUUCUUCUUCUUCUUCUUCUUCUUCUUCUCUCCUCCUCCUCCUCCUCCUCCUCCUCCUCCUCCUCCUCCUCCUCCUCCUCCUGUUUUGCCUCACGUUCGGCUGUCCUAGGACCUCUGCACUUGCUGUUCCUAGGCUGCAAAUGCUCAUGCCAGCACUUCAUAAAAGUCCACAUCCAAGUGUGUCCAGGAAGCCUUCCAUAGCAGCCUGUUUUGCUUUAUGCUUGUCUUCUAGGUUUCCUUUCUUUCCCCAGUAUUACUUAACACCACACCUAACCUACAGGAUUGUUUCUUUGUAUCUAGUUUCUAUCUUGCCAUUCCAGGAGAGUUUAAGCUCUGAGAGAGCAUGGCUGUUCACUUUGUCUGCCUCAGUCAUUGGUUUAUCUCCCUGAUGUCUCAAGGGCAGAGCUCCAGGAAGUGGGUACUGCUUCUUUGUGGAGUGAGGAGCGAUUGGCCAGCACUAAUACUUUUUCCAAGGCGUAAAGAGCUGGGAGCUCUCCUCCUGUAUCAGAAGACAAGAGUUCCUACUGCAUAGGGUUAUGAGGAUUAGAUGAGAUAAUGUGUGUCUAUAAAAUGUGGGCCAGGCAUGUAGGAAUGAGAUACAGAAUUAAAAUACACUACCUACUUUCAUCCUGUUGCUGUGCUUUGGUGAUGUCAUGCCUCCGCUGAUGUCAUACUUCUGCUGAUGUCAUACUAUAUUCUCAUCUUCCUGUUAUACCUCCCUCUGGGGUUGUAAGCACAGUGUGAACUCACUGGAGUUGAUCCCAGCCCUGCCUGUCAUUAGCUUCAUGGUUUAUUUAUUUAAUCUUUCUGAACCUCAUUUGCUAACACCAGACUAGGCAAUGAUACUUUCUUGGCUGGAUCUCUGUGAAGAGUAAAGGCCGUGUUAAACGGAUCUAGGAUCUUGUCUUGACACAUAGUAACAGCUCCGUAGGUCACAGCCCUUGGCCUUGCACAGGGUGCAGAUGUGGGUGGCAGAGGCGUGCUCACAGGCAAGGAGGACUAGGCGUCGGAGUCUGCAGCACCGUUCACAUUUGGAUUCUAAAAUUGGAUCCCUAUCAGCGAGCAGCCUGUGCCAUCUCAGCUCCUAACCCACGCCUUCCUUCUUCUCACCCAGAUCUCUCUGUAGUGGUUUUUUUUUUUUUUUAAAGCAGAGACUGUAAUUUUUAGCAAUUCUUGAGAUGUGUUUCUUUUUAUAGUUUGUGUCUUUCAUGGGCUCUUUUCCUCUGAUUUUGAAACAUCUUGUCUAGAAUCUGGAAGAGUACAUGAGUCUCUCUUUAUCCUUCGUCUUCCUUUACCUUAAAGCUUUCUCCCUAGCUUUCUGUCACCUUUGCUUCAGCAUCCAGGCCCGUCUUAUUGGUUAGGUCACACUUAAUUUACUCCCUCUGUUUUAGGGCAUCCAAGGAGGAAAUCAGUAUCUAUCUAUCUAUCUAUCUAUCUAUCUAUCUAUCUAUCUAUCUAUCUACUGGGUGGGGUGGGGGCAUGAUAGAAAACUGUGUGAAGACGUCUAACUGAUCUGUUUUAACCUAUUGUUCCCUCAAGUCAGAUGCAGCCAGCAUCUACCUCACAGGGCCUGCUCUGUACCACCCACUUCCCUCUCGCGAAUUCUUCAGUACUGCUGCCCAAACUUAUCCACUGUCUCAGUUUCAGAGGGAGCUCCAUGAAUGGAAGAAGCCUUCCGGGGACAGAAGGGAGAGUUAAAUCCCACCCCAAACACAUGAGCUCAUCGGCUCAGCAUCGUGCAGAGCAGAGAGUGGAAUCUUGCCAGCGUUUCACAUUGACCAGGAAAACUCUCAGCACCAUCUACUUCCUUAUUUUCUUUACUUUAAAAAAAAAUUUAAUGUCUUUUGAACUCUGUCCUAGAAAACUGUGGAGCAAGGAAGACCACCCGAUCCAAUGCCUCAGUGUUACGGACAUAUGUAAAAAUGAAGUAAAAAUGACCUGAGGAAAAAAAUGUUAAUAUCAUUUUAAAAAUGAUUUUUUUUUUAUGGUAAGUAGAAGUGCUUGGGUAGAGUGGCCGCAUAAUUCUUGGCGCUUUCCACCUUUGGGACAUGGCACUCUUUGUUGUACAGAUCAAGGCCCACUUUUGGAAGGAAGUGAAUCUGGCGGCUAAUUAGCUUGAAUCUGUUUAAAUGUCUGAGAGAAAGAGCUCUUCUUCAGCGUCUUGGAUUCACAGAGCAGUGUUCCACCUCCUACAGAAACAGAGACGGAAAGAACCAACAGCUUUUCUCGCAACAAAGAAACAGCUCGUUAGCCCCUGCCCUGAAGUGUAUGGAGUUAUGUAAUUCUGAAGUAGCCAUCUCCCGUUUAGAUCUCUUGAAAACAAGCGGAAAACAUCCAGACGGGCCUUUUGAAGUUCAUUUGUUGUAUCGAUUAUGUUUCUUAAAGGUUUCACCCUUAAUAAUCUCACUGAAACUCUCUCAGCCAAGCUUUUGAGUAGGUCAUGUGACAGGAAGACUUCAAAUGUUAGAAGCUGGAAUGGGGCUUUCCUUUCUUUCUCCCUUCUGUGAGGGUUCUCUUUUCUUUGAAUUCAUUCUUCCCAAUAAGAAAAGCACAUGCCCUGGGGAGGGACCAGGUGCAUAGUUAUAAAAACCCUGAAAGUUAGAGACUUUCCAAGGUCACAAAAUUUUCUGGGCCGUGGAAGGAGUUAGACUUUGUUUUCCUUUUUUUUUCCCUAAGAGUUUCUUAUCUUAGCUCCCAAACUGCCCUCCUCUUCUAGAGAUGAGACCGAGUCUUCAGUCUCCGACGGUGGGGAUUUGCUAGAGUGACUUCAAACUGCAGGGUUGGGUUGGGUGAGAACCCAGAAUCUGAGCUUUAACAAGGUCCGAGAGGUGAUUCCUGUGCAUACCACACUCUGAGGACUACAGCCCUGUAGCCUGAGGCAGAUACCUGGUCCCUGGUCUCAACCACCUCCCACCUAUUCCUGGAAGUACUUUCAGGACAGCUGCUCCAGGACCACAGAGGUGGCAGCAAUACUGGGCCUGAGGGUAGACUUGAGGCAAGCACGGCCACACUGCUAAUUAUCAGUUUACUCGCUGUGGAUGGGUGUGGUGGGAGGGAUGGCUAGAGACGUCCUUGUCCUGUACAUCCUACCAGCUCAUCUUGUAAUUUAAGCAGCCUAGUCCAUCUGUUCAUCAGCAUUUUCUCUUUAUUUCUCUUUUUUAUUCCUCGGCUAUUUUAUGAAUAUUAUGACUGCCAGACCCUGCUCUAUGAUAAACAAGGCAGAUGAGGACCCCCCUCCUGCUCAGAUAGUUGACAUUUCAGCGUGGACUAAAGAGAAAAUAAACAGAUAGACCCGGACUCCCCAGUUAAUUACAGAUCGUGGUCACUGGGAUGAAGUAAAUAAACACGGCACUGUAUGAAAAGCUGAGCUCUCAGCACUGCUGCUCCAUGGGGGGGGGGGGUAUCUGAGGGGGGGCUUGAUGGAUGGGCUUUGGGUAGGGGUAGGAAUUGGGCCAGAUGGUUGAAUCCUCUGAGGAAACAUCUGCUGUAGUGGGAUAUCCCAUGCUACCAAUGGUGGCCGCAACACGCUGAGCAUUCCUUAUGUGCCAGGCUAUGUACCAAGCAUUUCCCAGGCUCUGUUGGAUUCAGGCAUGGAGGGUUUUGCCUCCACCUUUGGAGGAGGAGAUCGAGGAGACAUCAAGAAGUUAAGUGAGCAGAUCAGGGUCACACAGUAGGAGGCAGUGUGAGCAAUUAACCUGCGCUUUGUGGGAGGGCCAAACGCUCUUUGGUAUCCUGUGGGUCCCUUCUUUAGUGUCCCCGGGCAGCUGCUGGCUGAGGAAGCAGCACCGGUGACAGAAUGCGCCCAGACUUGCCAACCACUGGACACUGUGGAGCACCAGGUUUUGCAAAGGCGCUUGUAACCUGCCUUAUGCUUGUAGGUGUCACAGGAUCACUGGCCGAUGAUCCAGUGAGAUUCGGAUGAGCACAGUGGGCUGGAGGGAGGCUAAGCGUCUUCUGAGUGAGCUCCAUGCUGGUAAGUGGCCUGAGCACUCACAGAUCCGCUUCUGAAUCUCAGACUCUGUCCUGCUUCCCUGACAGAGCCAGCCAAUGGCUGCAGUGGCUUAAGACCAAGGACCAAAACUUUCAGAGUCCUUCCUUUCUGCCACGGGUCUGCCCCCCCAUUCAUGUUACCCCAUCUUCUUGACUUUAGGGGACGCUUGUUGCGAAAUUGGUGUGGCUCCUUUCUCCAUUCUGACAAUUACUGGUAAGUACUUGGACACAUCCUAGGAUAAUUUGCCAGUUUUCUUUCUUUAGUAAUGGUGUCAACCCAGCAGGAAACCACUUCCAAUCAUUAACAAGCCAAUAUGGGUUCAGCUGUCACCGUCUCUCCACAGGUGGGGCUUGCUGAAAGGGGUGGUGGGGGUGGUGGGGGAUGGAGGGGUGAGGAGCUGGUGUGGGGGAGGGGGUAAAAGAAACUACACUGUGAGAGGGCAAUGAUGAUACCGACACUGCCAUACCUGUCUCAGACACCGUUGCCUCAGUAAAUACUUGGAAAACGCAGGAUGUAGUUGAAGGGAAGGUCCCAGGAAAGAGAGAGAAAGACUGGAAUGGAAGACGGGUAGAGAGACCCUGUGCAGCCUUUCCAAGUUCAUGCUCACGUGGGUCCCAUCGUGGCACCCCAGUCACAGCAGCAGUAAUUCCCUGUCAC